rnacentral:rRNA from 1 species
AUGCAUGAUCCACAAGGGCUUUUCUGCAAAACUGUUGUCUCUGGAAUAAAAGAGAAAUUCACCAGACGGAAAAAAAACAUACACUGGGCUGAAUCUGGCUGGCCGAACAUGCACAGGAGAGGGGGUUGGGCGCUGCUCACCAUGGGCCAUGGCCCAGUUGGUGUUGGGCUGGAUGAGGCAGGCGGCUGGGCCGGUCGCUGCCAGGCUUUGACGCGGACGGGCGCACGCGCGUGGUCAACUGGCGCGGCCGGAGCUGGGCUUCGCGCGGAGGGUAUGGGCCCUGGAGGCCCAUGCGGUGGCUGGGCUCAUCCCGCUCCUCGAUCCCGCCUGGAUCGAGUGAGGUAG